CAUUCUAAGUGACCCCAAACUUUUGAAUGGUAGUGCACAUGUCAGCAGGGAUAAAAAAAGGUAGCCCGAGGCUACUACUUUUCAGACUGGACUAGUAGACAAUGUGCCAAACUAGCCUGACACAGCAGUGAAAUGGCUAGCAGAAAAUGUGCCGAACUAGCCUGACACAGGAGUGAAAUUUGGCCUUUAUAAACAUCGUAUGCCACAGAUUUAGGACCUAAAUGUUACCCGAGCUUGUAGAAAUCGUGGUCUGCUGGCCAGUGCCCAAAAUCCUUAUUCCAUCCAUGCAUGUCAGUCCCUUUCAGCCGAACCACCCUUAUCGGUGUUGGUCCUCCUCAGUGACCUCACGGCUGAAGGUUUUAACUUUACUCUUGAGAAUUAGAAUCAGAAGUAGUAUAACUCAUAGCAAUACUCCACCUCUUCGGGCAAAUAGUACACUAGACUGUCCUGAUCAUCUAGUUGAGCAUUCCAGAUGAUUCCUCCAUCCCAGUAGAAAUGUCCCAUCGACAUAUUAGGAUUUUAGAUGUGCAGAUAAACCAAAGCCCAGUCUGUUACCGUUACUAUAGUCAAGUCUGUGAGUUAUGGUAUUUGAAUAUAGAUGGUAACGUUUCAGUAAUCAACUUAGCUAGCUAGUAAAAGUAACUUUUUUUUGUCUUUCAGACAGCUUGGCCCGGAAACCCAGUGACAACACUUGGGUCUGCAGCUGCUAUUUUCCGGUGGGAAAGAGAAAUGGCCCUGUAUUUACUAGAAAAGGUAGCUCAUCCACCAUGGCAGAAGAGGAAGAGAAAGAAGGGGAAGAAGAAGAGAAAGAGGAAGAAACAGACUCUUGAUUGGGAAACAAGAACAACCAAUGAGGCUUGAGGAUUGGGUGUUGAGGGACCACUUGUCACAUUCUCCAAGAUGGGUUUGUGUUAUGAUUAACAAUGCACUUUCUGUCGGCAGAUUGAGCCUGUGGACCGGCAGGUCAGUAACUCAUCAAAUGUGAUACAACAAUGAAUUUGUUGAUAUCUGUGCAGUAUGUUUGUCACGUUUGUGUAUGGUUCUCAUCACUUGUCACAUUGUCCAAGGUGUGUUUGUAUUAUGACAAACAAGGUGUUUUCUUCCAGACAAAGAUGUUGAUAUGGCAUUGAAAAAGACCCACCACUGACCAAAUGUCUCUUUGUUUUCCAGUCCAACAGGAGUGCAUCCCUCAGACCAUCUGGUGCAUGGACAUCCUGUGCCAGUGUGAUCCGAGAGCGAGUGUCCAGUUGUGGAGACUACAGCACAUCGAGCCUGUGGGCGGACAGAUAUGAGGCGUGACAUGGGGAACGUCAGGCUCACCCCACGAGAAGCAGUGCUUGAUCAACACCACCCUCAGCAAGGAGAUCUGCUGGAAGUGAUGUACUCUCUCUUACACUCUGGGUGCCAACGUUGGGAGCAUGCGGUCUUUGAAAACUCCUCAAGUCCAGCAAUAUGAGUCUGCCAGAGGUCGUCACGCUGGAUGCGGAUGGUGAUGGAGGCUUUGGUGGUCCACACAACCAAGAUGAUGUCCCUUCCAGUGAUGUGGCGUUGCCCUUUGACCUGAUGCAAGUAAGGAUGGGCUUCACGGAGGCGGUAAGACUCUCCCUCCUUGAUAUAGACGUUUUUUGACUUCACUGCCUCAAUGGUAUGGUCCCUUUACCAUAGGUAUACUUGACCACCAGCACCACUGUGGUGCCCACCAGACCAUCCGGUGAGGCACCCAGGAUCCCAGACCCUGUGACCUGGGUUACAGGUCCUCCACUGACUGCACCUGGUUGGUCACGGUUUGCUUCCUCCACUCACAUUACAUAUCUUUUACAGACGAUAUUGUGAACCGCAAUAAUAGCCCGUGUAGCUGCAUGGCUACACUUAUGAGCUCCACAAGGCCAUUCUCAUGUGGUAGAGAGAAUCCCCUGGUCAGCUAUAGAGACUUGGCCAAGAGGAAGGAUGUUAAUUGCCACAUGCCUUUCAACGCAUGACUUUGAACAUCUUGAAAUGCAUUUGAUGUACGAAAUAUGCUAUAUAAAUAAAGUUUGAUUUGGUUGAUUUCAUUACAGCUGCAGAUAUUUAAUCUACUGUAAUUUUCACAUGAUAAGUGCAGUUUUUCUCAUAAAUUAUCAAGUUAACAGUGAAAAGUUUAUCACUUGACAUAUUAAUCAUAUGGUUGGAAGGAUCCUAUAAAUAAAGACUGUGUGAAUGCAUGUACCACUCUGAAUUUAUACUGUAGAUAAUGUGCCUUUGAUGAUUUGUCUCUGGUCAUGAAACUACAAUACAGGCUGGAUGUGUAAACAGAGUAAAUUCUGAAUGUCAAUAGAUUUUUUGAUUCAUUCUCAUCAAUGACAACAUUCUAGAAUUGAGUUAUCACUCAUCUAAUUUUGGUAUCCAGGGUAAUCUGGUUAAUGAUUAUUUUUUACAAUGGGUGGGUCUAAUUCUGAAUGCUUCAUUCCAGCCGGUGUCUAUUCCACAAUUUACCACCGGCUAAAUCUAUGAUGUUAAAAUGCCUAUUUACUCUGUUCCAUCUGACUGCAAUCCACUGUCACAUCAGCCCAGCUAGGUAAUUUAUAAACUUCAUCUCCACAAUAAAAAGCAUCGAGACAUUAUCUCACAUUUCUUUUAGACUAACAUUUUGUUUUCAACAGCGGAGAUUUGUACAAACCUAACUGUCUGUCUCUCCGACAUUUGCAACAUUGUUUAAACAUCCUCCAGCCGUCCCAUAGUAAUGAACGUGCCGGGACGAGACAGAUAGGUAGGCAGCAUUUCUCAGCCAGUCUAAAUUAUGAAUCAGCUGGCAUGAAUUACAUUUUAUUUUUGAAUGAAUGAAAUUUUAUUUUUGUGUCUAUUCGCCAAUUGGCAACCCAUCCCUUAUGGUAUUAUUUGACACAUUUAAAAAAAAAUACAAUUAACUCAUGGUAAUUAAAUUAUAGUUCUUCCGGUGUUCUCUGCAUUGCAUGAAGAGUGAAAAAAUAUAUAAAAAAUAUAUAUAUAAUAUAUAUAUAUAUAAUAGUAAAUAAGGUUAUCCAAAAAAUUU